AUGGCGGGAGCGUUUGAGUUGUACUGGCAGUCCGCCAUCGGCAGGGCCGUCAUGGAGACGCUGGACGAGAUGGUCCUUAGCCCCGAUCAUGCCAUCAGCGUCCAAGUACAGUUCGAUGAGUUCAUGAGCACUGGACAACCAGCUCAAGAGCAAGGCCUUCUUCAAUGGAAGAUGCAGAUGACUUGUGUGCUUGAUUAUGGUUGGCUUGUGUGCUUAAUUAUGAAGUUAAUUACUCGGCCGCCACAGGGAAUUAUUCUUUUGGGAUCAUAUUUAUUCUCCGCAAAAAGUAAUCUCAACUUGCUUAAAGGCCACAUUUGGCAGUUGCUUAAACCUUCUGGACAAGACACACAAACAUACAACUAUGUGACAACUUAA
rnacentral:rRNA from 1 species